rnacentral:miRNA from 1 species
CAAGACCUAUAUCGGUGAUGAUGAUGAUGAUGAUGAUACUGAGAAUUACAUAUGGAUAUCCUUCCUCCUCCUCACCACCGCCAUCAUCAUCAUCAUCAUCAUCAUCAUCAUCAUCG